GAGCCCUCCCUGGCCCCUCUGCCGGGCUCAGGCUGGGCACCCCUCCGCACGGGCCCUGUACUGCUUCCUUCCGUCUGCCGGGGGUCUGCACACUCGGCCUAACACUGAGCCUUGUCGGGGAGUGGGUGUCGGGCCCCCGACGUCCCCGUGUCCCUGGUGGGGCCAGCGCGGCAAGGGGUCGGGUGAGGCCACCGCCACAGCUUCCUGUCCGUCCUUCCCAACGGGGACCUCGGACGCACGCAAGCCACGGGCACUGGCAGGGCGACGCGCUUUCCUUCGGAAGGCCCCUCCCGCAGCUGCUGCCUCUGUCCACCCCUGCCCCACGGGCCGCGCCCCACAGUCAGAAACCAGGGGUUUUCCCGCAGGUGCAGCGAACCCUGCACCCCCAUCCCCGUCCGGGGCCGGUUUCUACGAGAAGUGGCUCCACUCGGGGCCGGUGGCCUCGCGAGACCCGGGCUCCGUUGCCCAGCCAGGAAAAUGCCCGCUGCCAACUGCCCCCCCCAACGCCGUGGUCGACAGCGCACCCUCUGACGUGAGCCCCCUCAUCUCAGACCUCUUUUGCCUGCCCCUAAUGGGAUCGGCCCCCCAGAGAGGAGCGGGUGGAGGCUGAGGCGGCUCGCUGGGGAGGCCCAGUGUCCGGGCACCUGGUCUGAGGCCAGCGCGGCCCAGAGGAGCCCGGAGGAGCCGGCUGAGUAGGGGCCCCGGCUGCGCAAACCAGCAGACAGGCACCCGAAGAGCACAGCAGGCUGGGAAAGUAUUAGGGCUGCGGGUGCUUCCCCCUGAUGCUGAGAGCCCAGGCCUACGGCAGAGGAGAGGCAGAGGAGAGGCGGGCUGGCGGGCUGGGAAGAGCCUCGCGGCAGGGGGAGGGAGCUGCACACGGACCCGGAUUUGGGGGUGCCGUCCGACAUAACCAGCCUGCACCCCUCGAAAAGGCCAUGGUCAAGGAACACAGAGAAAGGCUGAGGACCUGUGGUCCCGGAUCGAAUCCUGGAGAAUGUGCGGCCAUGACGACCAUGACCGGCUCAAGACCGCAGAGGGCCCUGGUUUAGAGGGCGUGGCAUGCCCCUGCUGGCUCUGCUGAGGGCGACCCCUGGCCUGUCUCUAGGAGACACCCACCCACCUAUGGAGGGGCGGAGGCCAUGCUUCUCAAACCCAUGUGGCUUAGAAAACACACGUGGAUACAGACGGUGGGCAAGUGCACGCACACACGAGAGGAAACAGCAAAGCCGAGAGACUGAGGUGCAGACGUCCGUGAAUCCGGAUAAAGGCAGACAGGAGCUCUUUCUGCUCUCUGUACCCAUAAACUUGAAACCACAUCAAAAUAAAAUGUUCUCCAGAAAGCUC